UGGGGAAUAUUGGACAAUGGGCGAACGCCUGAUCCAGCCAUGCCGCGUGUGUGAAGAAGGUCUUCGGAUUGUAAAGCACUUUAAGUUGGGAGGAAGGGCAGUAAGCGAAUACCUUGCUGUUUUGACGUUACCGACAGAAUAAGCACCGGCUAACUCUGUGCCAGCAGCCGCGGUAAUACAGAGGGUGCAAGCGUUAAUCGGAAUUACUGGGCGUAAAGCGCGCGUAGGUGGUUCGUUAAGUUGAAUGUGAAAGCCCCGGGCUCAACCUGGGAACUGCAGCCAAAACUGGCGAGCUAGAGUAGGGCAGAGGGUGGUGGAAUUUCCUGUGUAGCGGUGAAAUGCGUAGAUAUAGGAAGGAACACCAGUGGCGAAGGCGACCACCUGGGCUCAUACUGACACUGAGGUGCGAAAGCGUGGGGAGCAAACAGG
rnacentral:rRNA from 1 species